CAGGCCUAACACAUGCAAGUCGAGCGCUAGGGGUGUUCCCUUACGGGAAACCCCCUGGAGCGGCGGACGGGUGAGUAACACGUAGGCAACCUGCCUGUAAGAUCGGGAUAACUACCGGAAACGGUAGCUAAGACCGGAUAGCUGGUUUCUCCGCAUGGGGGAAUCAUGAAACACAGGGCAACCUGUGGCUUACGGAUGGGCCUGCGGCGCAUUAGCUAGUUGGUGGGGUAAUGGCCCACCAAGGCGACGAUGCGUAGCCGACCUGAGAGGGUGAUCGGCCACACUGGGACUGAGACACGGCCCAGACUCCUACGGGAGGCAGCAGUAGGGAAUCUUCCGCAAUGGGCGCAAGCCUGACGGAGCAACGCCGCGUGAGUGAUGAAGGUUUUCGGAUCGUAAAGCUCUGUUGCCAAGGAAGAACGCCUCGGAGAGUAACUGCUCUGAGGGUGACGGUACUUGAGAAGAAAGCCCCGGCUAACUACGUGCCAGCAGCCGCGGUAAUACGUAGGGGGCAAGCGUUGUCCGGAAUUAUUGGGCGUAAAGCGCGCGCAGGCGGUCUUUUAAGUUUGGUGUUUAAGCCCGGGGCUCAACCCCGGUUCGCACUGAAAACUGGGAGACUUGAGUGCAGGAGAGGAAAGCGGAAUUCCACGUGUAGCGGUGAAAUGCGUAGAGAUGUGGAGGAACACCAGUGGCGAAGGCGGCUUUCUGGACUGUAACUGACGCUGAGGCGCGAAGGCGUGGGGAGCAAAC
rnacentral:rRNA from 1 species